rnacentral:rRNA from 1 species
AUUGAACGCUGGCGGCAGGCCUAACACAUGCAAGUCGAACGGUAACAGAGAGUAGCUUGCUACUUUGCUGACGAGUGGCGGACGGGUGAGUAAUGUCUGGGGAUCUGCCUGAUGGAGGGGGAUAACUACUGGAAACGGUAGCUAAUACCGCAUAAUGUCGCAAGACCAAAGCGGGGGACUUUCGGGCCUCGCACCAUCAGAUGAACCCAGAUGGGAUUAGCGAGUAGGUAGGGUAAUGGCUUACCUAGGCGACGAUCCCUAGCUGGUCUGAGAGGAUGACCAGCCUCACUGGAACUGAGACACGGUCCAGACUCCUACGGGAGGCAGCAGUGGGGAAUAUUGCACAAUGGGCGCAAGCCUGAUGCAGCCAUGCCGCGUGUAUGAAGAAGGCCUUCGGGUUGUAAAGUGCUUUCAGUCAGGAGGAAGGGUGUGAAAUUAAUACUUUCAUGCAUUGACGUUACUGACAGAAGAAGCACCGGCUAACUCCGUGUCAGCAGCCGCCGUAA